rnacentral:rRNA from 1 species
UACGUAGGGUGCGAGCGUUGUCCGGAAUUAUUGGGCGUAAAGCGCGCGCAGGCGGUUUCUUAAGUCUGAUGUGAAAGCCCACGGCUCAACCGUGGAGGGUCAUUGGAAACUGGGAAACUUGAGUGCAGAAGAGGAAAGCGGAAUUCCACGUGUAGCGGUGAAAUGCGCAGAGAUGUGGAGGAACACCAGUGGCGAAGGCGGCUUUCUGGUCUGUAACUGACGCUGAGGCGCGAAAGCGUGGGGAGCAAACAGG